rnacentral:rRNA from 1 species
GAUCAUUACCGAGAUAGGGUCCCCUGGGCCCGAACCUCCACCCAAUGCGUACUUACCUUUUGUUGCUUUGGCGGGCCGCGGGGCCCCCGCGCCCCCCGUCGACUUCGGUGGACGAGCGCCCGUCAGAGACCCCUCAAACCCAGUUAAUCAGUGACGUCCGAGCAACGAUAAAUCAGUUAAAACUUUCAACAACGGAUCUCUUGGUUCUGGCAUCGAUGAAGAACGCAGCGAAAUGCGAUAAGUAAUGUGAAUUGCAGAAUUCAGUGAAUCAUCGAAUCUUUGAACGCACAUUGCGCCCUCUGGUAUUCCGGGGGGCAUGCCUGUUCGAGCGUCAUUGCACCCCUCGAGCCCAGCUCGGUAUUGGAGGCCGCCCCGGGGGCGCCCCCGAAAAUCAGCGGCGACGCGUCCGGCCCUCGAGCGUAUUAAAACAUCACGUUCCGCUACGAUGGGUCCGGGCGGGUCCGCCGGACAAACCCUUUAAAUUUCUAUGAUUGACCU